UACGGAGGGUGCGAGCGUUAAUCGGAAUUACUGGGCGUAAAGCGCGCGUAGGCGGCCUUGUAAGUCGAUUGUGAAAGCCCCGGGCUCAACCUGGGAAUUGCAGUCGAUACUGCUUGGCUAGAGUGUGGUAGAGGGAAGCAGAAUUCCCGGUGUAGCGGUGAAAUGCGUAGAUAUCGGGAGGAAUACCAGUGGCGAAGGCGGCUUCCUGGACCAACACUGACGCUCAGGUGCGAAAGCGUGGGUAGCAAACAGG
rnacentral:rRNA from 1 species